CCUACGGGUGGCAGCAGUGAGGAAUAUUGGUCAAUGGGCGCGAGCCUGAACCAGCCAAGUCGCGUGAAGGAUGACUGCCCUACGGGUUGUAAACUUCUUUUAUAAAGGAAUAAAGUGAGGCACGUGUGCCUUUUUGUAUGUACUUUAUGAAUAAGGAUCGGCUAACUCCGUGCCAGCAGCCGCGGUAAUACGGAGGAUCCGAGCGUUAUCCGGAUUUAUUGGGUUUAAAGGGAGCGUAGAUGGGAUGUUAAGUCAGUUGUGAAAGUUUGCGGCUCAACCGUAUAAUUGCAAUUGAUACUGGCAGGCUUGAGUGCAGUUGAGGUAGGCGGAAUGCGUGGUGUAGCGGUGAAAUGCAUAGAUAUCACGAAGAACUCCGAUUGCGAAGGCAGCUUACGAAGCUGCCACUGACGUUGAUGCUCGAAAGUGUGGGUAUCAAACAGGAUUAGAUACCCGGGUAGUC
rnacentral:rRNA from 1 species